rfam:Pyrococcus furiosus sR9 RNA, complete sequence.
GGGCCCGGUUCCCGCCCUCUCCGGGGAAUCGUGAACCGGGGGUUCCGACCGGGCCCACAAUGGGAUGAUGACCUUUUGCUUUACUGAACACAUGAUGACCACGCCCUUCGCUGACCUAAAUAUUUGAC